rnacentral:lncRNA from 1 species
CUUUUUUUUGUAGUGAUACCAAUAUGAUAUGGUAUAUAUGCAAUGGAAGGUGUAGACCAAUGAUCACUAAUGUGCACAAGUAACGUUGCCGGCAAUACUCAAUGGCUAGUCUCGAUAGGCAAGUGACGCAAAAUGGGCUAGGGGUUAUAAAUGCAAUGGCAAGGAGAAUGUACAAUGAUGUCAUCGAGGUUACCGUCCUUAUGUACGAUGAUGACCUCGUGGUGAUGAUGAGUGGCGGUGUUCUUGAUGUCGACCCGUUCCUAGUUAGACGAAACACCCUAGGAAACGGAAGAAACCGCAAACUCAAAAUCUCCAAAGGCAAAUGUCAAAUGGUGGUAGCAGAAGCGGAGGUGGUUUGCACUCAACAAUGCGGAAGUGGAAUGAUGUGCUAUACACGUGUUUGAGUUGAAGUUGUCAUCCCUAAGUAGCCGAAACACCUUAGGAGACACAAACCACAACUCAAACAAGCUCAAACAACAAUUGGGUUGGCAAAAUGUAUGGUGGGCAAGGUUAUUUGGAAGUGGUGGUGGUGGUUGAUGAAGAAGCAACCAUCUCUAAGUAGCCGAAACACCUUAGAAGACUUGAAUCACUACUCAAGCAACCACUAAUGCUAUGGCAAGCAAAAUGGGUUAGGUUGCGGAAGGCUAUGGUGGUUAUGAGGAUGAUAUGGUGGAGGCCCUAGGAAAAGAUGCCAAAGUUACAAAAUUUUGAUGGAUUCAAAAGAUGUUGGUGGUAUUUUUGUGGGAUGGGUGAUGUCAAUAGCUUCAAAACGAGCUAAAGAACGUCAAAAUCGGAGUUGGGAUGAAUUAGUUAUGGACGAAACAAAAAUCAGCCGAAGUCAGUUUUCACAAGGGUCGGACAACCGGUGGAUGGAGCGCGGGGCGGACGUCUGGAAAUGGCCGGAAAUCCGAUGUUUUGGUUUGGGAUGGGUGGUGUAGACGUCCGGUGCUGCGGACGGGCCGGUCGUCCGGUAAAGUGUCGGACGUCCGGUGGGUCUGGGUCAACUCGAGAUCCGAGUUUCAGGACACGAUUUUGGGCGGAAAAUAGAAAUUUCGGGGUCAAAAUUGAUGAGAUUUCGUGGAUGAAAGAUGGGGGAACUUAGGGAGAUGCUAGAUCCACUCGAAACCAAGAAAAUCAAUGGAUAAAAAUCAACAAAACGUCAUCAAACCAACAAAUCACAAAAAAAAAUUGGGGCUAUUUUUGGUGAUGAUUUUCGAAAUUUAGGACGAAAUGAAGCAAAAGAAGGCUACCAAAAGAGGGGUAGGGGCUCCAAAUUCGUGAUCAAUGUGUCUCAUGAUACCAAGAUGAUGUAGGGUAGAACUCUGGAUGCCCGAUCAUUCACAAUUGAAGGGAAUCCUACGAAGAACACGAGGGGGGAAACGAGGGGAACACGAGGGGAAACACAAGAGAAAUCACUCAACCAACAAGAUCCGGUCACACAUAUUCUAGAUCCUCGAAACACAAAGAGAUACACGGUCUGAAUCCAACAAAGGACAAUACAAGUAGCUAGUUCAUCUCCAAUGAGGAGGUCUUGAGGGUCAUCCCAUGAAUGGGGUCUUGAAUCCAAGAUGGAUCUUCUCCAAAGAGGUCGCGGUCUCUCACGAGGAGUAGAUCCGUAUGGAUGAGCAAAGCUCUAUCUCAAAUGAGCUAAACCUAUGCUAACUCUAACUUGGAGGAGAUGGAGGAGUAUAUAUAGUCUAGGUCCACGAAGGGGUAAGUGGGAGAGGGAUACAUGGGCCUCGGGCCCGAUCUCUAUGCACAGACAGGCAUCGGACGUCCGACGGCUGUCGGUCGUCCGGACGCUCGCGGGCGUCCAGUCGUCCGGAAGUCUUUGGACUUCCGAUGUUUUGGCUCUGGUCCGGUAGUGCCGGACGUACGGUCAGCGUCGGUCGUCCGGGCGCUGAUGAGUGUCGGACGUCUGGUGUCUGGUGGUCUUCCGGGCGUUGUAGGUUGCCUAGGCUGGAAUCUAUCUCGUUGGUGGAGUCUCAAGGCAUCGGAUGUCCGGAGAUCGUCGGUCGUCCAGUGGUUGUCGGUCGUCCGAGCGUUGUAGCUUCCUGGCAGCUCUUCCUCUUGUUCCUCGCGCUUGGUGUCUUCUCCGUCCUGUCCAAUGCUCCUAGCUGAUCCAUGUCCUUCCUCCUGGCUCUUGGUCAUGCAUAACACAUAUGUUUGAGGUAGUAGCCAUGUCUCACAUGUGGAAAGUGACGAUUCGGAGAGGAGCGAGUUCUCCUUGUGUCCAAUGGCGUGUGUUUUAGGUGUCGUCAUAUGUCCUCUUGGGGUUUGGAGAGUAGUCGGAGUGUACAUAGGGAUGAACGUGGGAUGCUCCGCAUUAGGAAGGCAUUGGGAAGUAAUAAGUAGUUGAUGGGUUGCUAGAGUGACAGAAGCUUAAACCCUAGUUUAUGCGUUGCUUCGUAAGGGGCUGAUUUGGAUCCAUAUGUUUCAUGCUAUGGUUAGGUUUACCUUAAUUCUUCUUUCGUAGUUGCGGAUGCUUGCGAGAGGGUUUUAUCAUAAGUGGGAUGCUUGUCCAAGGAAGGGCAGUACCCAAGCACCAGUCCACCCACAUAUCAAAUUAUCAAAGUAACGAACGCAAAUCAUAUGAGCAUGAUGAAAACUAGCUUGACAGAAAUUCCCAUGUGUCCUCGGGAGCACUUUUCUUUAUAUAAGAGAUUGUCCAGGCUUGUCCUUUGCUACAAAAAGGAUUGGGCCACCUUGUUGCACCUUAGUUACUUUUGUUACUUGUUACCCGUUAUGAAUUACCUUAUCACAAAACUAUAUUUUACCGAUAAUUUCAAUGCUUGCAGAGAAUACCUUACUGAAAACCGCUUGUCAUUUCCUUCUGCUCCUCGUUGGGUUCAACACUCUUACAUAUCAAAAGUAUUACGAUAGAUCCCCUAUACUUGUGAGUCAUCAAGACUCUUUUCUGGCAUCGUUGUCGGGGAGUGAAUGCUGGAAUUUUUGUCUAUUUGGGCCUAGCACAAUAGCAGUUUCAGAAAUUCCUAAUAAAUCCUAGAGGCCCACACAGCCCAUUCGUGCAAGGCAAGAGGUGGAACUAAAGUUUAGUCCCACAUUGCUAGUUUAGAGGGAGUUGGACCUCCUUAUAAGGGAGGCUCUUUCCCCACUUGUAUGAGCAUGAGAACAAGAGGGACACCCACGCGCGCUCCUCCUCUGCCGCCCGCCUCGCCAUGCCACGCCUCAUCAUGAUGCGCCGCGCCGCGGGUUGCGGGAAUGAGCCGAGCCGAUGUUAAAUUUUUGCCACGCACGAUGGGUAUACGAAAGGUCACGCGGGAGCUGAAACAUUUUUCGUAGUGGACACUGAAUCCGAACGGGGUGACUCUUCGGCUGAAGUCUGUUCGCUUCAUCUCCCUCUCUUUGUUUCGCCUCCCGUUGCUUCCCUCUCGCCUCCUUCUCUUGCGCCUAUAAAAGGGAGGUCGCUCCUCUCAGAGAGACGCACCAGAACUUCUCCUUCCUCUCGCCACUGGUUCCAAUCUCUAAGUUGCUGCUAUCUUCCUCAUCCCGGCUUGCGGCGUGCACCACGAGUCGGGAUAGUAGGCCUCUGAAACCGCACUUCUUUGAGUCAUGUACGGGAGAAGGGUGAUAAGGUUUUUGGGGAGUGCUCUGCGCGACUACUGACUUCUUCGUCACGGACGCCCCGGACUCCGAUGACUACUUCCCCGACGUCGACAGCCUCCUCGACGACAUGGAGGACACCGACCCCAAGUCCAGUGCCUCUGCUCCGGCUGCUGUCCAGUACAUGUUCUUGUUUUUCCUGUUAGAGGUCCUGACACAGUUCCUUGUUCUAGUGUUUGCCCUACACAUGUUAGGAUCUACCUCAUAUAUGCAUCUUGAUCUAUUGUCUGCUCGAGAGAUGAUCGGUUCUAGCUCAGAUAUGCAGAUGUUAUUUACCUUCACUUUGUCAAAUCACAUGACUUGUUUUAUCACUGCCAUACUAGUCAUGCUUUAUCUAGUAUUUCUGUUAAUAAAAUCAUUCGGUAAAUUUCUCAUAUUUCCAAUAGUGAAGCGCCUUUGGUAGGUGGAAUUUGGUAAGGAAACAUUUAUAUAGUGUGCUGAAAUUUACUAUCACUUGUUACUAUGGAAAAUAAUCCUUUGAGGGGCUUGUUUGGGGCAUCUUCAUCCUGACCAGAAGUGCAAAUAGUUGCUCCUCAACAUACUGAACCUACUGAAAGUAUUUACUUUGAAAUUCCUUCGGUACGAUAGAGAAACUGCUAGCUAAUCCCUAUACAGGAGAUGGAACAUUACAUCCCGAUAUGCACCUAAUCUUUGUGGAUGAAGUUCGUGGAUUAUUUAAGCUUGCAGGUAUGCCCAAGGAUGUUGUCAAGAAGAAGGUCUUCCCUUUAUAUUUUAAGGGAAAGGCGUUGACAUGGUUUAGGCUAUGUGAUGAUAUUGGAUCAUGGAACUACAACCGAUUGAAAUUGGAAUUUCAUCAGAAGUUUUAUCCUAUGCAUCUGGUUCAUCGUGAUCGGAAUUAUAUAUAUAAUUUUUGGCCUCGUGAAGGAGAAAGUAUAGAUCAAGCUUGGGGGAGACUUAAGUCAAUGUUAUAUUCAUGCCCCAAUCAUGAGCUCUCAAGAGAAAUUAUUAUUCAAAAAAUUUAUUCUCGGCUUUCUCAUAAUGAUCGAUCCAUGCUCGAUACUUCUUGUAUUGGUUCUUUUAUGAUGAAGACUAUUGAAUUCAAAUGGGAUUUAUUGGAAAUAAUUGAACGCAACUCUGAAGAUUGGGAACUCGGCGAUGGUAAGGAGUUAGGUAUAACCCCUAAGUUUGAUUCUGUUAAAUCUUUUAUGGAUACCGAUGCUUUUCGUGAAUUUAGCACUAAAUAUGGAGUUGGCUCUGAGAUAGUAGCUUCUUUCUGUGAAUUUUUUGCUACUCAUGUUGAUCUUCCUAAGGAGAAGUGGUUUAAAUAUCAUCCUCCCAUUGAAGUAAAGGUAGUAGAACCUAUUAAAGUUGAAUAAAAAAGUAUUACUUAUAAUGUUGAUCCUAUUGUUCCUUCCUCUUAUAUUGAGAAACCACCUUUCCCAGUUAGAAUAAAGGAUCAUGCUAAAGCUUCAAUUGUGGUUCGUAAGAGUAAUGCUAGAACACCUACACCCCCUGAGCAAAUUAAAGUUGAACCUAGUAUUUCUAUGGUUAAAGAUCUCUUGGUCGAUAAUAUUGAUGGGCAUGUUAUUUAUUUUUGUGAUGAAGUUGCUAGAAUUGCUACAUACUAAAAAUAAACAUAGACCUGUUGUUGGCAUGCCCGUUGUUUCUGUUAAAAUAGGAGAUCAUUGUUAUCAUGGCUUAUGUGAUAUAGGUGCUAGUGUGAGUGCAAUACCUCAUUCCUUAUACAAAGAAAUUAUGCAUGAUAUUGCACCUACUAAAAUAGAAGGUAUUGAUGUUACUAUUAAGCUUGCCAAUAGAGAAACUAUUUCACCAAUUGGGAUUGUUAGAGAUGUUGAAGUCUUGUGUGGGAAAAUUAAAUAUCCUACUGAUUUUCUUGUUCUUGGUUCCCCACAAGAUGACUUUUGUCCCAUUAUAUUUGGUAGACCCUUCUUGAAUAUUGUUAACGCUAAGAUAGAUUGCGAAAAGGAUAUUGUUACUGUUGGUUUAGGGGAUAUGUCUCAUGAUUUUAAUUUUGUUAAAUUUCAUAGACAACCCCAUGAUAAAGAAUUGCCUAGUAAAGAUAAAAUUUAUUGGUCUUGCUUCUAUUGUCGUGCCUCCUAAUGAUCCUUUAGAACAAUAUUUGCUCGACCAUGAAAAUGAUAUGUUUAUGAAUGAAAGAAGGGAAAUAGAUGAAGUAUUCUUUAAGCAAGGACCUAUUUUGAAACACAACUUGCCCAUUGAAAUCCUUGGGGAUCCUUCUCCACACAAGGGUGAUCCCAUGUUUGAGCUUAAUCAAUUACCUGAUACUCUGAGAUAUGCUUAUCUCGAUGAAAAGAAGAUAUAUCCAGUUAUUAUUAGUGCUAACCUUUCAGAGCAUGAAGAAGAGAAAUUAUUGAAAACUCUGAAGAAGCAUCGUGCUGCUAUUGGAUAUACUCUUGAUGAUCUUAAUGGCAUUAGUCCCACUCUAUGCCAGCACAAAAUAAAAUUGGAGAAAGAUGCUAAACCAGUUGUUGAUCAUCAACGACGGUUAAACCCUAAGAUGAAAGAAGUGGUAAGAAAUGAAAUACUAAAGCUUCUAGAGGCAGGUAUAAUUUAUCUUGUUGCUGAUAGUUAGUGGGCAAGUCCUGUCCAUUGUGUCCCUAAGAAGGGAGGUAUUACUGUUGUUCUUAAUGAUAAGGAUGAAUUGAUCCCACAAAGAAUUGUUAUAGGUUAUAGAAUGGUAAUUGAUUUCUGCAAAUUAAAUAAAGCUACUAGAAAGGAUCAUUACUCUCUACCUUUUAUUGAUCAAAUGCUAGAAAGACUAUCCAAACAUACACAUUUUUGCUUUCUAGAUGGUUAUUCUGGUUUCUCUCAAAUACCUAUGUCACAAGAGGAUCAGGAAAAGACCACUUUUACUUGCCCUUUCGGUACUUUUGCUUAUAGACGUAUGCCUUUUGGUUUUAUGUAAUGCACCUGCUACCUUUCAAAGAUGUAUGAUUGCUAUAUUCUGUGACUUCUGCGAAAAGAUUGUUGAGGUUUUAAUGGAUGAUUUCUCCGUUUAUGGAACUUCUUUUGAUGAUUGCUUAAGCAACCUUGAUCGAGUUUUGCAGAGAUGUGAAGAAACUAAUCUUGUCUUGAAUUGGGAGAAGUGCCACUUUAUGGUUAAUGAAGGUAUUAUCUUGGGGCAUAAAAUUUCUAAAAGAGGUAUUGAAGUUGAUAAAGCUAAAGUAGAUGCUAUUCAAAAGAUGUCGUGUCCUAAAGAUAUCAAAGGUAUAAGAAGUUUCCUUGGUCAUGCUGGUUUCUACAGGAGGUUUAUUAAAGACUUCUCUAAAAUUUCUAGGCCUCUGACUAAUCUCUUGCAAAAAGAUGUUCAUUUUGUCUUUGAUGAUGAUUGUGUAGAAGUAUUUGAAAUACUUAAGAAAGCCUUGAUUUCUGCACCUAUUGUUGAGCCACCUGAUUGGAAUUUACCAUUUGAAAUGAUGUGUGAUGCUAGUGAUUAUGAUGCUCCUACCUCCCGUGGCCGGCUGUGCUGCCGCGAAGGCCUCACCGCCCCCUACUACUCCCACUGCUGGCCAGGCCAUCCCUCCACUCACCCACACCCCCUGUUAUUCUACGGCGACGGCAGCGCAGCCGAACCAGUGAACCCUCAUACUCCUCUCCGCAUGUGCAUCCACUGUCGCGUCUUCCGCGGCUCCGUGUCGUCCCCUUCCUAGGCAUCGCCGUGGUCCAUCGUCGUGGUGCUCUCGGCGCGGCGUGGUCAACGUGGUCAAGGAACGACUUCCAUCGGACAUGGACUGUACAUGGAGAGGCUAACAGUUGGGUCCAUGGUAGCCGCAAGGAAGUGCCUCCUUAUUACGCGCAAAAUAAUUAUUGCUCCACCUGACAGCGGGGACCCACCGGACGGGCCACCGCAUUUCGCGAAAAAAAUGAUUCGCCCCCUGACUGCUGGGACCCACGAGCUACAUCUUCGCACACAAGGAAAUGCGUCCGGGAAAAAAACUAUUCGCCCCUGACUGCUGGGACCCACCAGCUACAUCUUCGCACGCAAGGAAGUGCGUCCGGAAAAAAACGAUUCGCCCCCCGACUGCUGGGACCCACAGCUACACCUUCGCACGCAAGGAAGUGCGUCCGCGCAAAAAAAACGAUUCGCCCCCUGACUGCUGGGACCCAGCAACUACACCUUCGCACGCAAGGAAGUGCGUUCGGGCAAAAAAAACACAAAACGAUUCGCCCCCUGACUGCUGGGACCCACCAACUACAUCUUCGCACGCAAGAAAUUGCCUGACAGUCGGGACCCACCUGGUCGAAGCGUACGUAGCGUUGUCAUUCUGGUCGCGAACGUGUAUGUACAUACAUACUGGUCGAUGUAGAGGCGUGCAUGUGUCGUAGUAGAGGCGCGCACGUAGAAUGUACACGUAUGUACAGCGGCCAGGGUGCAAGAAAGAAAAUACGGCCACGUACGUACAUACGGGCAGGGUCUCGAACGCCUACUCGCGCAUAUGUACGGCCAGGGCUCGUGUACAUGGCUGGGUCGGAACGGAGAAACAGCAUCGUCGUCAUGUUCAUGGGGAGCCAACCGGCUGGGUCAGAACGGAAUGCAUGGUUGUGUUCAUCGGGAGGGCUUGGACGGAACAGGCGAUGGAAACGAGGCCUGGCAUACCGCAGAACGGAGGAAACGGCCUUGUGUUCGACCGGCCACGUUCGAAACGGGGGUCCUGUUGAUCGGGAGGGGUCUGGAGUACCGCAAAACGGAGGAAACGGACCUCCUACGGUCGAAACGGGGGUCCUGUUGAUCGGGAGGGGUGUGGCGUACCGCAAAACGGACAAAACGGACCUCCUACGAUCGAAACGGGGGUCCUGUUGAUUGGGAGGGGUGUGGCGUACUGCAAACGGACGAAACAGACUUGUGUUGGAGCACUACGGUCGAAAUAGGGGUCAUGUUCAUUGGGAGGGGUGUGGCGUACCGCAAAACGGAACUCCACGGGAUACUGUUCAUCUCCACCGUCGACCUCCUCCAGCCUCCACGGGCUACCAUCUACCUCCUCCAGCCUCCACGGGCUCCUAUUCAUCUAGCCUCCACCGCGUGCUACUCCACCGGCUACUAUUCAACCACCCCUCCANNNNNNNNNNNNNNNNNNNNNNNNNNNNNNNNNNNNNNNNNNNNNNNNNNNNNNNNNNNNNNNNNNNNNNNNNNNNNNNNNNNNNNNNNNNNNNNNNNNNNNNNNNNNNNNNNNNNNNNNNNNNNNNNNNNNNNNNNNNNNNNNNNNNNNNNNNNNNNNNNNNNNNNNNNNNNNNNNNNNNNNNNNNNNNNNNNNNNNNNNNNNNNNNNNNNNNNNNNNNNNNNNNNNNNNNNNNNNNNNNNNNNNNNNNNNNNNNNNNNNNNNNNNAGCGAAGGAAUCGCUCGACCGGGUUUAGUUAACAGCCAUUGAUUGAUCGCUCGGGUUCAGUAACGCGUAGCCUGCAGUGCAAUCGCUUGGGUUCAUUUAGAGCCCAACGCCUCGCUCGGGUUCAGUUAGAGCCAACGUCUCGCACACACGCGCGUACGUGUAGGAGAGAAACGCGCAUCGCUCGGCCCCCGACCUCCCACCGUAACCGGUAACUCCCCUAAAUUUUCCUCGCCCUCGCUUCUACCACGGUUUUUUCUGUCAUGGACAGCCCAAAGAAUGUCAUGCAACUGCGUCUCCGGCCCGCCCAGGACGAAAAGCCCAUUUUCUGUCAUGAUUUUUUGUCAUAGAAGUAGGAGCCCACCACAUCUAUGAUGAUACCGGGUUUUGUCACAAUUAUCGUCAUAGAAGUGUCAUAUGUAUGACAGAAAAAAAUUUCGUUCGGCCCAAAAUGUCACGGAUGUGUCUUUUUUGUAGUGAAGUAUCGGUAUGUUUUCGUCUUUGUUUCGUUCAUGUGAUAUGUGCAAAUCUUGGAGCGUCUUUUGCAUUUAGUUUUCAUUUUUUAUGCACCAUGCUGGUAUGAGAUGGUCCAUGGUUGAUUUAUAGAAUGCGCAUUGCACUUCACUUAUAUCUUUUGAGUAUGGCUUUAUAGAAUUAUUCGUGUGCUUCACUUGUAUCAUUUGAAGUUUGGAUUGCCUGUUUCUCUUCACAUAGAAAACCGAUAUUUGUAGAAUGCUCUUUUGCUUCACUUAUAUUUGUUAGAGCAUGUUCUUUUGUAAAAAUAAUUAAACUCUCAUGCUUCACUUAUAUCCAUUUAGAGAGCCAACGGGAAUUGGUCAUUUCCAUGGUUAGUCAUAAAAUCCUACAUAAAACUUAUGGAUCACUGAAUAUGAUAUGUUUGAUUCCUUGCAAUAUUUUUGCGAUAUAGAGAUGAUAAUAUGUGGGAGACACUAGUAAACAGUUGUGGUUAGUAAGAAUAUUGGUGUUAAGGUUUGUGAUUCCUGAAGCAUGCACAUAUAGUCUCUCGUUAUGCUAUGAAAGUUGGAGCAUGAUUUAUUAUUGAUUGUCUUCCUUAUGAGUGGCGGUCGGAGACGAGCGAUGGACUUUUCCUACCAAUACAUCCCCUAGGGGCAUGCGUAGUAAUACUUUGCUUCGAGGGCUAAUAAACUUUUGCAAUAAGUAUAUGAGAUCUUUAUGACUAAUGUGAGUCCAUGGAUUAUACGCACUCUUACCUUUCCGCAAUUUUCUAGCCUCUACGGUACCGUGCAUUGCCCUUUCUCACCUCAAGAGUUGGUGCAAACUUCGCCUGCAUCCAAACCCCGUGAUAUGAUACGCUCUAUCACACAUAAGCCUUAUUAUAUCUUCCUCAAAACAGCCACCAUACCUACCUAUUAUGGACUUUCCAUAGCCAUUCCGAGAUAUAUUGCCAUGCAACUUCCACCGCUUUCGUUUGAUGACUUGAGCAUUCAUUGUCAUAUUGCUUUGCAUGAUCAUAUAGCUGACAUAGUAGUUGUGGCUCAGCCACCAUGCAUCAUUUUUAUACAUGUUAUGCUAGAUCAUUGCACCUCCUGGUACAUUGCCAGAGGCAUUCAUGUAGUCAUAUUUUGUUAGAGGUACCGAGUUGUAAUUUUUAUUCCUUUUGAGUUAUAGGUAAAUAGAAGUGUGAUGAUCAUCACUUUUAGAGCAGUACCCCAGUGAGGAAAGGAUGAUGGAGACUAUGAUUCCCCCACAAGCCGGGAUGAGACUCUGGACAAUGAGAGAAAAAAAGAGAAAAAGAAGAGAAAAAAGGAAAAGAAAAAGAAAAGAAAAAAGAAAAAAUAUAAACAAAGAGAGAAGAGGCAUUGUUAGUAUCCUUUACCACACUUGUGCUUCAAAGUAGCGCCAUGUUUUUCAUACGGAGAAUCUCCCAUGUUGUCACUUUCAUAUAUUAGUGGGAAUUUUUCAUAAUAGGAUUAGAUGCACACCCACUUAGUUCCAUAUUGAGCUUCCAUGCACUUAUAGCUCUUAGUGCAUUCGUUGCAUGGCAAUCCCUACUCCUCACAUUGAUAUCAAUUGAUUGGCAUCUCCGUAACGUGUUGGUUAGCCGCGUCGAUGUGAGACUUUCAUACUUUUUUGUCUUCUUUAUAUUUACCCCUAUCAUCAUACUCUAUUCCACAUGUAGUGCUAUAUCCAUGGCUUGCGCUCAUGUAUUGCAUGAGGGUUGAAAAAGCUGAAGCGCAUUAAAAAGUAUGAACCAAUUGCUCGGCUUGUCAUCGGGGUUGUGCAUGAUAAAUACUUUGUGUUAAGAAGACACAACAUGACAAGAUUAUAUGACCUUGUAGGGAUAGCUUUCUUUAGCGUUGAUAUUUUGAAAGACAUGAUUGUUUAUUGGGAUGUCUGGGUAUUGAUGUCUUCAUGUCAAAUUAUAGACUAUUACUUUGAAUCACUUAUGUCUUAAUAUUAAUGCCAUGGCUAGAUAUAUGAUCGAGUUUAUGCUAGGUAGCAUUCCACAUAAAAAAUAUCAUUUUUAUCAUUUACCUACUCGAGGAUGAGCAGGAAUUAAGCUUGGGGAUGCUGAUACGUCUCCGUCGUAUCUAUAAUUUUUGAUUGUUUCAUGCCAAUGUUAUACAACUUUCACAUACUUUUGGAAACUUUUUAUAUGAUUUAUUGGACUAACCUAUUGAUCCAGUGCCCAGUGCCAGUUCUUGUUUUUUGCAUGUCUUUUGUAUCGCAGAAAAUCCAUAUCAAACAAAGUCCAAAUGCGAUAAAAAUCUACGGAGAAUUAUUUUGGAAUUUAUGUGAUUUUUGGGAUGUGGAAUCAACGCAAACGGAGGGCCAUAGUGAGCACAACCCACCGGGGCGCGCCCUGGUGUAUCAUGCCCUCCUCGAGCAUCAGUUAGAGCCCUUCUUCUAGCGCAAGAAUAUAAGUUAUGGAAAAAAGUCGUGUAGAAAUUUCAGCGCAAUCAAAGUUACGGAUCUCCGGGAAUUUAAGAAACCGUGAAGGGCCGGAUCUAGGGAGCGCGAAACAGAAGAGAACAGAGAGGGGGAUCCAAUCUCGGAGGGGCUCCCGCCCCUCCGCCUCCAUGGAGGCCAUGGACUAGAGGGGGAACUCUCCUCCCAUCUAGGGGGAGGCCAAGGAAGAAGAAGAAGGAGGGGGGCUCUCUCCCCCUCUCUCCCGGUGGCGCCGGAGUGCCGCCGGGGCAAGGAUCGUGACGAUGAUCUUCAUCAACAAUCUUGUUACCGUCAACACCAACUCUCUCACCCUCUAUGCAGCAGUGAAACACCUCUUCUCCCUGCUGUAAUCUCUACUUAAACAUGGUGCGCAACUCAAUAUUAUUUCCCAAUCAUCUAUGGUUAUCCUAUGAUGUUUGAGUAGAUACGUUUUGUCCUAUGGGUUAAUCGUGAUCUUGGUUGGUAUGAUUGUAUUUUUUAUGCUGUCCUGCGGCGCCCUCUGUCUCGCGCAAACGUGAGGGGCCCGGUUGUAGGUUGUUGCAAUAUGUUCAUGGUUUGCUUAUUGUUAGUGUUGCGGGGGAUGACAGCAGCCUAAACGCGGAUAAGUGGGUCAUGGCGUAUGAGAGUAAAGAGGACUUAAUACUUAAUGCUAUGGUUGGGUUUCACGCCCUUAAUGAUCUUUAGUAGCUGUGGAUGCUUGCUAGGGGUCAAAUCAUAAGUGCAUAUGAUCCGAGUAGAGAAAGUAUGUCCGAUCAUGCCUCUCCCUCAUAUAAAAUUGCAAGGAUGAUUAUCGGUACUUGUUAUCGAUUGCCUAGGGACAAAUGACUUUCUUGUUGACAAAAGCUAUCUACUUUUAUUACCUUGCAAUUUAUUUGUAGUUUUCUUCUUGCAAAGUACUCUUAGUUUUAUUCUUACAAAAUAGUUCCAUACUUGUUCUAGGUAAAGCAAACGUCAAGUGUGUGUAGAGUUGUAUCGGUGGUCGAUAGAACUUGAGGGAAUAUUUGUUCUACCUUUAGCUCCUCGUUGGGUUCGACACUCUUAUUUAUCCAAGAAGGCUACAAACGAUCCCCUAUACUUGUGGGUUAUCAUCCAGCUAGGGGCCGGAUGUCCGGCCCGAUGGCCCGGAUGUCCCGCCCGACGAUUCCAGAUCUCGUUUGGGGCGGAAAUAUUCGAAUUGGGGGCGGAAAUUGAUUAUUCCAAGGGAAAAUUGGAGAGAUUUCGUGGAUGGAAAUGGUGAGAAAUAUGGGGGAAAGCUAGAUCCACUUGAAACCAAGCAAUUCCAUGGAUCAAAUCCAACAAAACAUCAUCAAACCAACAAAUGACAAAAAAUGGGGGUUACUUUUGGUGGGGAUUUUUGAAUUUAGGAAAUCAAGCAAAAGAAGGCUAGAAAAUGAUGGGGGAGGCUCCAAAUUUGUGGUCAAUGUGACUCAUGAUACCACAGAUGAUGUAGGGUGGAUACCCUAAGGCCGAUCUUUCAUGAAAUGGAGGGGAUCCCGCGAAGAACACGAGGGGAAACACGAGGGAAAUCGCGAGGAGAACGAGAGGAUACACCCAAAUCAACAAGAAACGAUCACAUGAUUCAAAUCCAACAAAUGGGGAUACAAAGGUAACUAGUUCAUCUCCUAGAAGGAGGCCUUGAGUCCAUGGAGGAUCUUCCCUUGCGGGGGCUUCAUCCACUAGGGAUCUUCUCACAUGGAGGUCUUGAACUCCAUGGGAGUGGUAGUCUCUCUCUCUCUUUCUCUCUCUCUCUCUCUCUCUCUCUCUCUCUCUAUCUAUCUCUCUCUCUCUCAAGAGGAGGAGUUGUAGGAGCAAAGCUCACAUACAAAUGAGCUAUCACUUUGCUAACCCUAGCUAGGAGGAGGUGGGGGUAUAUAUAGUCUAGGGCCACAAAUAGGUAAGUGGGAGAGAGUUUACAUGGGCCAUUGUUAUUGCGCAUUGUGGAGGGAGUGGAGGCACAUGACGACUACUUCAAGCUCUGAAGGGAUUGUUGCGGCCAACUCUCUUUCUUGGCCAAGCAGAAAUGCAUGAUUGCUCUGAGGAUGCUUGCACUUGGUACUGCCGCAGACGCCGUUGGUGAGAUGGUCAGGAUGGGGGAGAUCAUGUGCCUGAAGACUACUAUCAAAUUUGCCCGCACUGUGAUUGAAGUGUUUGGACCUGAGUAUCUCAGAGAACCAAAUGCGCAAAACACGGAGAAGUUGUUGGCCAUUGGAGAAGCAAGGAGUUUCCAGGAAUACUCGGAUCAAUUGAUUGGAUGCAUUGGCAAUGGAAGAACUACCACAAAGGUCUGCGGGGAAUGUAUCAAGGUCACACAAGAGAGGCCACCAUCAUACUAGAAGCGGUGGCAUCACAUGACUUGUGGAUUUGGCAUGCUUUCUUUGGAAUGUCCGGUUCUCACAACGACAUCAAUGUGCUUCAACGAUCUCCGGUGUUCAGGAGGCUUUGCAAUGGGGAAUCACCAUCGUGCAACUACACCGUCAACGGCCAGGACUACAACAUGGGGUACUAUCUUGCCAAUGGUAUCUAUCCUCAAUUGGCGGCGUUUGUGAAGACCAUAUCCGAAUCGUGUGGCAAUAAACUACAAUAAUGCAGGAAGUGGCUAGGAAGGACGUGGAGAGGGCAUUUCGUGUGCUUCAGGCUCGUUGGGGAAUUGUGCGGAGCGCUGAAAUGAUGUGGGAAUCAGAUACUUUGUGACAGCUGAUGACAUGUUGUGUUAUUCUGCACAAAUAUGAUUCUCGAGGAUGAGGGUGAAGCUGUAGCCCAAACCCAUGAUUUUUAAGCACCUGGAGAACAAGUUGAAACUCCAAAAGAUCAAGAUGCGGCUCAGCUUAUGAACUUUCUACAGAUGCAUCAGAAUCUUCGAGAUCGGCAGGUGCACACACAGCUACUCAAUGAUCUUGUGGAGCACAUGUGGAUCCACAAUGGAAACCAAGGAGGCAAUGCUUGAGUUUGGCACUUCAAAUAAAUUUUAUGUAAAUGCUAUCUAUGCUUGAUACCCAAGAAGUGCUAUUUACGUGCGACAUUGUGUUGCAUGAUCGACGUGCAUGUAUUUGCAUGGAUUUGAGAGUCUGGAGUUGAGAUAUGUGGAUGCACGAAAGGAAAUAUGAGGGCCCAUCCUGAUGCACCCGCGGGCGUACCCGGACGCCUCCGCGGGCGUUUGAGAGGCCGGAUUUGCCAAGUCCGGCUGUAGAUGUUCUAAUGUUUCAAGAAAACCGCACUAUUCAUAUCUAGAAUUUUUUUCCUCUGUCACUAUCUUAAAUUUACAUUUGAUUUGUUUAGAGAUUGUAGGCAUAUGUCUUGUGAACAUUCAUGAUUUUUAUUUUUGUUAUCUUUAAAUCAUUCAAAUAUGCUUUUUGAAAGAUGGGAGCAUGUGAGGGUGGGGCACAUGACUAUCGGAGGUGUUAAAAUAUACCCACAUGUUUAAGGUUCUAGGCCAACUAGUAAGCGUGCACGUGUAACACACAUUUUGAUUAAAAUUAACACCUGAUGUGAGAAUUCAAACAAAUAGGAAAAUAAUUUGAUACAUCCUCUCCAUUCAAUUUUAUAAGCGUAUUGUUUUUUUUCAAAAAACAAACUUUUCUAUCGUUUGACUAAAUGUACUCCAUUACUAAUAGUGACACAUCCAUGACAAGCAGCAAAAAUACCUUUUAAAUCAUGUAUCAUGACUAAAUGUAUUUCAUUAUUCGUUUCGAGUGCGGUCAAAACAAAACAAAGAUGCAACCAUCAACUUUGUUUGCAGUCGUCUUUAAACUUCACUCUUUCUAAUGGAUCAAUCCCUAAGAAUGUUAUUCAACAUCGAGAAGCAAGCACAAAGCCAUUGAUCUUUAGCCGAGUGUCAAGACUCACACAAUCAAAGAUUUGAUCGCAACAAAAUGGCUAUGAUGCAACAUCUCACCAAGACAUGUUCAUCAACAAUCAAAAGACCAAAAGGCCCGAACAAUUUAUUGGGCUGUAAAAAAUAGUUAUGUAGAACCACCAUAAUAUACAUGCUUACAACACUAUCACCGCAUAUUAUUCGCAUGCUCUAACACACGUUGUCAAUGCGAACAUCUAGCAACACCAUCCAUCCUGACAUAAUAAACAACAUAUUCUUGUCCUGGUCCAACAAGUUCAAUUAGUAAAUGACCCUCCUUAACAUGUUCAGUAGCAUUCGCUGCAAAAAAGUACGAAUAUUCAGAUUUCAUGUCAACAACAGAUAUAUUUGGAAGUGCAUUUUCUUUUCUCCUGCGCCAUAAAAUCUUCUUGAUAAGUUAUUUUUCUUUCAGGUGUAUAAUGCAAAACUCUGAUGCAAGUUAGCAUGAAACCUUCAGAAUUGGGAAUUUUAUCAACAUGAAAAGACACGGGAAGCUUUGACGAUGCAGAAACCCGUCAGAUCCAUCGGUAGGGUAGCGAGCGUAGUCGGAAGUUGGGAGUUCACAUGGGGGGUUUACGCAGGUUCAGACCCUCAUGAUGAAGUAAUAUUCUACGUCUCGCUUUGCUUUUGAUGUGGGAGCAUCUCAUGCGAGGGGGUUACAAGAUGAUGAUGGUGAUGAUGAUGACUACCGAGAGUUCUAUCUAAUUGAAUAGAUGUCAUAAGCUACCCCCGUCCUCACCUUAUAAAGGGGUCGAGAGCUAGAGUUUACAGGUGUCCGAGUUGAUCUCAUGUGUAAGGGUUUCUUGGCUUUCACAUCAAGAUGGUCUUCCCGCUCCGAGUCGGGCCCCUGCACUCAAGGUUGUCAGAAUCGCGAUUCUGUUAUACGAUUCUACAACUUUAGGAUCCAAACUAAACCCUCUGAUUCUACGAUUUUAGUUCUUAGAAUCUACGUUUCUACGAUUCUAGUAGUGAAGAUUUUACGAUUUGCGAUCCUACCAUUGAAAUUCCGAUCCAAUUCAAAAUCAUGAUUCUGACAACCUUGCCUGCACUGGCUCCUAGAGUUCAGCCGCCGCCAGAUCCAUUGGGCCCUGAGGCCGGCCUGACACCGGGCUUCCUGGUCGAUGGGCCAACCCCGGUGUAUUUACUGUCAAGCUUUAUUUGUUCCAGUUGCCUACUCACUUAAACGUAUACUCUUAUAAUGAAAGUUACCAUGUGCAUAGAAAUAUACUCUCCUAAACCUAAACAUAUCUAGAAAAAAAGAUUCAUCCUUGUAACGUCAUUCACUUAUUCCUGAGUAGAUCCACGAUCUCUAAACAUAAUGUUUCUUAUGGAACUAUUGGAUAUAGGAGAUUUUGUAGGAAGGAACCAUAACUAUGUGGAUUCAUUUGAGUAGGCACUUAUAAUUACCUCACUGACAAUCCUAUUGAAUGAAAAUAAUUUGACUGAAGGCCAUUGACAUUGAGUGGACCUGCCCCAUCACAUGCUUCCUGAUCACCUACCUUGUUCUUCCUCUCUUGGUGAGGAAGAUCUCUUCGGUGCUCUUGUUGCUUGCCGAGCGGACAACCAAGAAGUUGUCCACUUGGAGGGCAUCCAUGCUCGCUCUUGAGGUGAAAGACUCUCGCUCGUCCGCUACAUUCUCUUCGCCAUGCUCACUCACCUCUCCUUGUCAUGGUUCUUGGCCCUCCGAUGUUGAAGAAGGUGAACCACAUUAUUCACGAGUUCCUAUGGCACGGUGGAGGCGAGGUUAGAGUUGGUCGAUGCCUCGUCCGUUGGCCCAAUGUAUGUCGCCCCCUCGAGCAUGGUGGCCUCAGCAUCCGUGAUAUGCAAGGAAUCGACAUUGCUCUUCGUGUCUAAGGGAUGUGGUUCCAGGACACCUUGCCACCCCUACACAUCCCUUGUGACCAGGACUUUGGUGACAUCUUCAAUUCCUCCACCACAUGGGUACUUGGCUACAGGCAGUCUUGUUGUUUUUGGACCAAUUGUUGGUUCGAUGGUCAAUCAUCGCACCAUAUUUGUUAUCCCUUGUGCCACGCCAAUGCUGCAAGGUGUGUUCUAUAGCUGAGGGACUGCACGAGCGUGCGUGGAUCCAGGGCGUGAAAGUGUGUGGUAUCAACGAAAGGGAGGUGAAUGGGAGAUUUUUCUCAAAUUCUUCAAAGAAGCGAGUUCUUGAAAGAAUAACAACAUGAGGAAUAACUAAACGGAAGCGUAACUACAGUAUGCAUGCAAUUCAGAGUAGCGACAAAGUCAUCACGGCGAAAUAGACCAUGCAUAGGAAGUAACCGGUCAUACAAAGCAUGCAGACACAAAGGUAUUUAACCAAAGUACAGCAAAACUGAAGACAAAUAGAACAUAGCAAAAACUGAUGAAAUUGGGAAACACAUAGAUGCGGAAAUUAUUGAGUUAAAGAAAUAGAACCGGCUUGCUCGAUGAAGACAAUGGAUUUGUAUGACCAAUUCCGGUUGUCGUGACAACUAUACAUCUGGUUAGUGAGGCUUGAGAUUUAACUCAGAAGAAAUUUAGUCUUCACACUAUUCCCCUUGAGUUAAGAUCACUUAGUCCUGCCCAAUUACUCGUGAUAAUUCUUCAAGGUAGACUCCCAAAACCUUCACAGACUCAUUCUAUGGCACUCCACAAAUUCUUUUUGAAUGCUCAGAACAUGAUGCCUAACCAUCUGAAAUAUCAUAGUCUUCAAAGGUAUCAAGCGUUGGAUCACACAGGACAAUCUCUUCAUUGAUGCUCAAUCACUUUGGCUUUGGGUUUUUGAGUUUUUCCUCACUUAGGAUUCUCUCGGGUUCUUCGGAGGAUGGGUUGCUCUAGUUGGCACUUAUCAAUCAAUCACUCAAAGCAGCCAACCAAUAAAUGAUUGUGGGGGCGGCUAUUUAUAGCCUGGGUCAACCCAACAUGAAAUGAUUCUCAUGCCCUUCGGACAUGACCAUUGUCAAGAUAAGAUCCACAUGAUAGCUCGCGCUAGCACAACAAUGAUCGGAACUCUCAAUUUCCUCACGGUAGAAAAAUCGCACUAGCAAAAUCCUAUCUCUUUAGUCACACCAAUUUCAUCAACGACGAGAAGAACUGCAUCUAUAUCGCUGAAGAACUCGACUCCACUUCAAGAUAUUUCCAAAGUCUUUACUCAAAGAAAUAGGUAAGUUUGAGCAUCACUUCGAUAAUACACCUAUGUAUCACCUAGAUCCCCCUUUAAUAGUAUGGUGUUCCGUAUGAGUCAAUAUAAACAAAAAGAAACUACGAAAACAAAGUCUUCACGUUCUAGUUCACCACUUCUAUUUCUUCAAAGGGGCACGCCAAUUUUUUCAAAGAAACUACGAAAACAAAGUCUUCAUGUUCUAGUUCAUCACUUCUAUUUCUUCAAAGGGGCACACCAAUUUUCUCAAUGUAAACAUACAUUUCUAGGGGUCGUCUUUCUUGCUUAAAUCAAAUCUUUAGGGACUUUAUCUCAUGUGUAUACUCACAAACACAUUAGUCCUUUAACCCAUUUAUUUUCGGUACUCCAAAAUCACAAAAGCGACACUAGAUGAACUUACAAGGCAUUUGUGAUGCAUAGGGACCUGCUCCCAUGGUUGAGUGCGUGGAACUAUGACACCACUUCUGUGAUGUCCCGCUCUUUGUUAGUCCCGAUGUCUUGAAUUGGACUAAGAAUGUGCAGCUCUGUCAAAUCAUGCCAGCUCACACUCUUCAAAGAAUUCACCUUGGCACCGCAUUCGUGGCGGACGGGACAGAUAACUGGUGACAUGCCUAACCCUAAACCCUAACCCUAUGCCAUGGGCAUGUCACUGAUGAACAGUACCUUAAUAUGUCCCCCCUCUUUCAGUCAUUCAGUUGAGCGUGAACAAUGCCCAUGCUACAGUGGCGUUGCUACAUGAUGCCGAGCAGUAUGCAUCUACAAUAUUUUUUUGCUACAAUACAUGAUCUAGAUUGUUGAUUUUUGAUUCUAUGUCAUGUUAGAGUAACUCCAACGGGGCAACCUAAACGGACGCGUGCUUUGUCCGCUUUUCAUCCGUUUGGGUCGGCCAGACGGACAUGCGCGUCUGCAUUCUGAAAUGGGUCGGCUUGACCGCCCAACAGGAAGACUGACCCAAAUGUGCCGGCGUGGGAAAAAAAUAGCUCACACGAAAUAAACAUAAUUAAACAUUAGUGGCUGGUCAAACGCCGACCAGAGUCCACUUAAACCUAAUUAAACAUUAACUAAAACAUUAAAAAGUCUGCACCCGCCUGCUGCUGUCCCGCACGCUGCCCUAGACAUCGUCGGCCUUGCCCUUGCCCUUGGCGUCGACGCCGCCAUCGCCAUCGCCGGUGAGGUCGAUGAAGACGGGAGAAGGGCCAGCCUACCCGAACGCCACCUGGUACGCUGCCAGGGCAGCCUCCUAUGACGUCUGCUGAGGCGGGGGCCUUGCGGCUAGCCGCGCGCGCUCCUCCUCCUCCUCCUCGAGCCAGAGCGCCUCCGCGUCGCAUUGGAGCAUGGCCUCGUAGCGCAUCUGCUCCUCGUCGUCGGCCUGCUCCUGGCGGAGCCAGUGCGCCUUCCAGCGCUCGAGGUGGGCGGCCUCCUACGUCGGUGUCGCGGCGAAGUGGAUGGGAGGCGCGCUCACCCACUCAUGGUACUAGCCCAUCCACGAGUAGGCCUCCUCCAGCCAAGUGGGUGGAGGAGGGGAGCGCUUCCGCGUCGACUCCGGCUCCAGCUUGGGCUGGAUGGGCGGCGACGGUGGCGGUCGCGACACGAACAGCGGGGUGUGGACGGAGUCCCCCACCGCCGACAGGGCAAGGGCUUGCUCCAACCCAUCCCAGUGCGCGUCCUCCUCGAGGCGGCUAGCCUCUAGCGCGUGCUGCAGGGCCUCCUCGAGGGCAGCUUGGUACUCCGCCUCUGCCUCCAUGUCCUCCGGAUGUACCUGCGGGGGCGGCAGUGGAAAUGGCGGCGGGACGGCAUCGACACCCAAACGUCGUUGCUCCUCAUGUUUGAGGGCGAACCAAGCCUCCCAGUCGGGAGAGUCGGCGGCGUACUUAGGCAGCCGAAGCUGCUCCGGCGUGAGCUGCGCGCGGCGCCGGCGCACCUCCUCGUCGUGCGCCCGCUGGCUCCGCGGAACCGCCGGCACCGAGAUCCGCUGUGGAUCCAGGUGCCAAUGGUGCGGCAGCGUGACGUCGGGGUACGGCAGCGGUUGCAUGUACUCCUAGUGCCACCGUGCUUGGUGCACCAGGAUAUGCAGGCGCCGGCGAUCAUGGCGGAAAUGCGCCGGCGCCGGAGGAUGAGGAGGAUGGGGAGCACAGGAGGACGAGGCGCCGAGGGUGCCCUUGCCAUUGCUGCUGCCGGAGAGGCCCAUGGCGCGCUAGGGUUUGCUGUCGCCGGCGAGGAAGCAAAGGGAGUGGUGGGGGGGCAGAUGUGGACGGCAAAAGUGGAUGAGGCCGCCCCCGCUGCACGCGUGCUUAAAAAUGGACGCUUCCACUGGCUAACUAGUGGGCCCGUUGGGUGGUCUACGGAUGGGGACGCGGCGGACGCCGAGAAGAUGUGUGGCGCGUCCGCACCGACGCAUUCCAGGCGCAAUUUUAGGCCGGAAAUGGAUCGGCGCGGACACAAGGCGGACGCGAUUUGCGUUUGGGUCGGCGCGUUCGGCCUGCACUUUCGUCCUCGCCGAUCCAGACGAACGCAGGUGGAUGAAAUGGGUCAUCCCAUUGGAGUUGCUCUUAGAGCGUGACACGUUACGAGCGUAUCACUGGAUCUCUCCAGACGGGCUUACGUGAGAGCGUGGGCCCCGCUUUACAUCCGAUUCUUCAAUAGGCUUGCGAGCGAAGACCGGUGAAUGGACGGCUGCACACCUUGCAAAAAAAGUAGUUUGAUGUUGCCCUGUGCUCACUCUUUCUUGCUUUCGGCUUAUCAACAGGAUAAUAUGCAAUUGCGUAUUCCCAUAAAAAAUAUGCAAUUGCGUAUUCACACACACACACACACACACACAAAAGCAAUGCUAAUUGGAAAGGGUACCCUUUUCUAUCAUCCUACCCUUUUCUGUCAUCCUACGAGAUGACAAAACUUCAGAAUUUUUUUGUACUGUAAGCACACGUUAUUUUUCAAUUAAGAGUGUUUCAGUAAAAUUAUGCUAUUGCAGGAAAAUGGAAAUGUACUACCGACUCAGAUCAAAGUCAGGUUACCAACCGUGUAUUCAAUCUUCAGACGUGCAUACCCUUUUAGCUGCUCAAUACUACUCAAAACAAGCGGUGAACCACGUAAAGAUCUGAGGACAUCACAAUUUUCACAAACGUCACAACUCCUCCAGGAUGGCUGCCAAAUCCUUCCAAGAACAAAAUGCAUGUAAGCUCACCCUUGCUCAUUGGUAUGACAAUAGUUGCACCAAGGGCCAAGGCAUGUGCAAGGGUUUGGAGUAUAGUGGAUCUUGCUUGACCCAAGCACUAACAUCUUUCAUUCAGCAUAUCACUAACCGAAUGGACCAUGGAACUCAACUCCUGGCGCAGAACAUGAAGGGGAAGCAAUUUCAUUCAGAGAAGGGAGUAAAGGUGGCUGAUCUAGUCUAACAAUCUAUUCAAUGCUGAACCAUUUACAACAAACAUACAAUGUGACAUGGGCAUUAACAUAGGGAUGACCACGCAGUCUAACUACUGAGGACGUCUCCUAAAUUCUGGUGCAAAAAUUUCCACCGCAGAAUGCUAUUGUGUGGUCAGAAGAGCCCGGGCGGGCUUUCGGAUCAUAGGGCGUCAACAUAUAUCCCACCACAGCCUUUCUCCAAAUGCCGGAUUACUGAACUCCCGUACCAAACAAAAUGGGCCGGUAGAAAUGAUAUGAUUUCGAGCAGUGUUCAUCCAUCCAUAUUCUGAUAUCUUGCACAGGGGGGGAUCGAUCUACGACAUGACCUGUGAUCCCUAAUAUUGUGUGUAUCCACUUCAUGGACGUCCCAUUUCUGCUGUUGCUCAAUUUUGUGGCCCGGGUCCACAAGUCCUUAGAUGCUUCACGUUUCUGUGUCUGACAUCUGAUCUUGUAGUCACACGUGUUCAUUAUCCACACUCCCUGC